rnacentral:rRNA from 1 species
UUUAUUAAAAACAUGGCCUUUUGAGUAUAAUUUAAGGUCUAACCUGCCCAAUGAUAAAAUUAAAUGGCCGCGGUAUUUUGACCGUGCAAAGGUAGCAUAAUCAUUAGUUUUUUAAUUGAAAGCUUGUAUGAAAGGUUGAAUGAGAAAAUAGCUGUCUCUAUUUAAAUUUUAUAGAAAUUUAUUUUUAAGUUAAAAAGCUUAAAUAAUUAUAAAAGACGAGAAGACCCUAUAGAGUUUCAUAAUUUUAAUUUUAUUUAUAGUAGUUUAAUUUUAUUAAAAAUUAUUUAAUUGGGGUGAUUUAAAAAUUUAUAAAACUUUUUAUUAAAAAAAACAUUUAUUUAUGAAUAAUUGAUCCUUAAUAAAGAUUAUAAGAUAAAAUUACCUUAGGGAUAACAGCGUAAUUUUUUAAAAAGUUCUUAUUAAAAAAAAAGAUUGCGACCUCGAUGUUGGAUUAAAAUAAAUUUUUGGUGUAGAAGCUAGAAAAUUAGGUCUGUUCGACUUUUAAUAUUUUACAUGAUCUGAGUUUAAACCGGUGUAAGCCAGGU